rnacentral:tRNA from 1 species
GGAGGGGUGGCUGAGUGGUUUAAGGCACUCGACUCGAAAUCGAGAGAGCGGCUAAUCCCUGCUCCGUGGGUUCAAAUCCCACCCCCUCCGCCA